rnacentral:rRNA from 1 species
AUUGAACGCUGGCGGCAGGCCUAACACAUGCAAGUCGAGCGGAUGAAGGGAGCUUGCUCCUGGAUUCAGCGGCGGACGGGUGAGUAAUGCCUAGGAAUCUGCCUGGUAGUGGGGGAUAACGUCCGGAAACGGGCGCUAAUACCGCAUACGUCCUGAGGGAGAAAGUGGGGGAUCUUCGGACCUCACGCUAUCAGAUGAGCCUAGGUCGGAUUAGCUAGUUGGUGGGGUGAAGGCCUACCAAGGCGACGAUCCGUAACUGGUCUGAGAGGAUGAUCAGUCACACUGGAACUGAGACACGGUCCAGACUCCUACGGGAGGCAGCAGUGGGGAAUAUUGGACAAUGGGCGAAAGCCUGAUCCAGCCAUGCCGCGUGUGUGAAGAAGGUCUUCGGAUUGUAAAGCACUUUAGGUUGGGAGGAAGGGCAGUAAGUUAAUACCUUGCUGUUUUGACGUUACCAACAGAAUAAGCACCGGCUAACUUCGUG